rnacentral:rRNA from 1 species
UACGAAGGGUGCAAGCGUUACUCGGAAUUACUGGGCGUAAAGCGCGCGUAGGCGGCUUUGUAAGUCAGAGGUGAAAGCCUGGAGCUCAACUCCAGAACUGCCUUUGAAACUACAUCGCUAGAAUCAUGGAGAGGUUAGUGGAAUUCCGAGUGUAGAGGUGAAAUUCGUAGAUAUUCGGAAGAACACCAGUGGCGAAGGCGACUAACUGGACAUGUAUUGACGCUGAGGUGCGAAAGCGUGGGGAGCAAACAGG